AAAGUACUCCCUCCAUCCCAAAAUUCUUGUCUUUGAUUUGUCUAGAUACGGAUGUAUCAAGUCACAUUUUAGUAUUAGAUACAUCCGUAUCUAGACAAAUCUAAGACAAGAAAUUUGGGACAGAGGGAGUAGUUG
rnacentral:pre_miRNA from 1 species